rnacentral:rRNA from 1 species
UACGUAGGGCGCAAGCGUUGUCCGGAAUUAUUGGGCGUAAAGAGCUCGUAGGCGGUUUGUCGCGUCUGUCGUGAAAGCUUGGGGCUUAACCCCAAGUCUGCGGUGGAUACGGGCAGACUAGAGGCAGGUAGGGGAGAACGGAAUUCCCGGUGUAGCGGUGAAAUGCGCAGAUAUCUGGAGGAACACCGGUGGCGAAGGCGGCAUCCUGGACCAACACUGACGCUGAGGGAGCGAAAGCCAGGGGAGCAAACGGG